rnacentral:rRNA from 1 species
UACGUAGGGUGCGAGCGUUGUCCGGAAUUAUUGGGCGUAAAGGGCUCGUAGGCGGUUUGUCGCGUCGGGAGUGAAAACCUUGGGCUUAACUCAGGGCUUGCUUUCGAUACGGGCAGACUAGAGGUAUGCAGGGGAGAACGGAAUUCCUGGUGUAGCGGUGAAAUGCGCAGAUAUCAGGAGGAACACCGGUGGCGAAGGCGGUUCUCUGGGCAUGAUCUGACGCUGAGGAGCGAAAGCUAGGGGAGCAAACGGG